ACACGCUUCGCUGCGGAUGGCACCGGGCUCUCUGGGACGAGCACGGAGGGGCUGUCACCAGAGGCGGAGGAGCUGGAGAGGGCGCAGCAGCGGGGCGAGGGGACGGAGUGGCGGCUGGAGGUGCACGAGCAGCUGCUGGCCCUGCGGCACUGGCUGGACGCCGUGGAGAAGAGGCUGCCGGAGCCGGGCCCUGCGCUGCAGGUAUCGGGCUGGCCCCGGGCGAACGGCGGCCGGCAGAGCCAGGCAGGACCCAGCCCACGGUUCACAGAGGCUGGUGAGGUCUCGGUCCCCAAACGGGACAGCGCCUGGCUGCGGCUGGUGGCAACGACACGGCCCUGCCAACCUCCCCCUGGCACCGAGGGAGCAGGCAGGGGGCUGUGUCCCCACGGCGCUCACCCAGACCUGCCCAUGGCACGGCUGCGCCUCCGUACCCCACCGCCACCUCCUUUGGCUGCGGAGGGCUUGGAGCCUCGAGCCCCCACUGGCAGCCAGUCCCUGCCACCCCCUGCCCCUGGCUCAGCCCCGUCCUGCGUCCCCUGCAUCCAGCCAGGGCCGUGCAGCUGCGCAGGGAGGGCUGCACGCGCUGCCCAGCCGUGUCCCCGCCGUGUGCCCAUCUGCUCGCAGGGCCCUGCCAGCAGGGUGUGAGGCGUCCCCCUGGUGCGGGGCAGCAGCGGGAGCACCCAGAGGGCACUGCCCAAACAGGUGGUUGCCUGUGGAACAGGACCACCGAUGGGCAUCGUGGCCAGCUGGGGACCCGCGUGCCCCUUGCCCUGCUCAGAGCCCGGCCCACUCCUGCCCAAAGGGCACAGGGCAGGCUGCGGUGAUGGGGCACAGGGACGCAGCCCAGCGGGGCCAUGUGCAGCCAGACCACGGCAAGGGGGGCGUUGGGCAUGGAGGGAGCCGUGGGGAGGGCUGAUCCAUGAGCUUAUGGCACAGGGCUGGGCUGGUGUGUCAUCCCCAGGGGCGGGGAAGGGAAAGGUUUUAAACGCGCUCCAGUCCCCGGCAGGAAGCAGCGGUGAAAGCAGCGGGACUGCGGGCACCUGCCGGGCGGACCCGUCCUGCGACCACCGUGGGCAGGUAGGAGAGGUCUGGAGCAGAGGGGCCCAGCGGGGCACCGUGGGGCUGUGCCAGGAGCCGCGGCAGCCGGAGGCCCUCGCGCAGGUCUCAGGCAUGCGAGGAAUGCGGCACUGCCUGCACUUGCACUGGGCAGCGGCCAGGUGACAGUGGGCAUAGGGCAACAGCCGCACGGCGCUACGGCACGGCACCGCCAGCCCCCGAGCACAGCGGGAGGAUGCUGACCCCUGCCCCUGGCAUGCCCAGGUGUGGGUCGGGGUCAGGAACCUCCUGGGAGGAUGGCUCCUGGUUAAAGCUCCCACUGCCCUGGGGCUCCAGCAGGCACGGCGAGGCUCGUAGGGGCGGCAGGUGCUGAGGAUGGGGCAGGCGUUGGGGCGGUGCGUGGCAGGCACCGUGACACGGUGCCUGGUGAGGUGGGGAUAUGUGGGGCUGGGGCACUGCCCCACGUGGGCAUGGUGUGGCCCUGGGGGCUUGCUGCGGUGGAACCUGCUCCGGGCACCUGCACUAAUGGUCAUUGGCACCACCGGGGACCGCGUCCCCUACGUCCCUCCCCAGACGGGCACUGCCCCAAAAGGGGUUCUGGGCUGCCCCCAGUCCUAUUCAAAGCAAGGACCCCCCAAGCUCCUCUCCCUGUUCCUAUCGCCCCUCUGUCACUGCCCCAGCAAACUCCUGUGUUGCUCUCCCUCCCCCUGAAAUGCCCCCGGCGUUAGCCCCUUCCACCCGGGGCCACCCCACAGCUCUCUCCACCACCCUGCCGGGCUCCCACCCACAGCCCUGCUCCCUUCCCUCUGCUCUGGGGCCUCCCCCGGCAGGCACACCUCCUCCCCGAAACCAAGCCCCCC
rnacentral:lncRNA from 1 species